AGAGUUUGAUCCUGGCUCAGGAUUAACGCUGGCGGCGUGCAUAACACAUGCAAGUCGAACGAUGAAACUUAGUAGACUUCUUCGGAAAGACACUAAGCGGAUUAGUGGCGAACGGGUGAGUAACGCGUGAGUAACCUGCCUUACACAAGGGGAUAGCCUUUGGAAACGAAGAAUAAUACCCUAUAAAACCAUAAAAGCACAUGCUAGAAUGGUCAAAGUGAUAGCGGUGUAAGAUGGACUUGCGUCUGAUUAGCUAGUUGGUGAGAUAAAAGCUCACCAAGGCAACGAUCAGUAGCCGGCUUGAGAGAGUGUACGGCCACAUUGGGACUGAGACACGGCCCAGACUCCUACGGGAGGCAGCAGUGGGGAAUUUUGCACAAUGGGGGAAACCCUGAUGCAGCGACGCCGCGUGAUUUAGAAGGCCUUCGGGUUGUAAAAAUCUUUUGUAUAGGAAGAAAAUGACAGUACUAUACGAAUAAGGUCCGGCUAAUUACGUGCCAGCAGCCGCGGUAAUACGUAAGGACCGAGCGUUGUCCGGAAUCAUUGGGCGUAAAGGGUACGUAGGCGGCUAGAAAAGUUAGAAGUCAAAGGCUAUAGCUCAACUAUAGUAAGCUUCUAAAACUAUUUAGCUUGAGAAAUGGAAGGGAAAGUGGAAUUCCUAGUGUAGCGGUGGAAUGCGCAGAUAUUAGGAAGAAUACCGGUGGCGAAGGCGACUUUCUGGCCAUUAUCUGACGCUGAGGUACGAAAGCGUGGGUAGCAAACAGGAUUAGAUACCCUGGUAGUCCACGCCGUAAACGAUGAGUGUUAGGUGUCUGGAGUCAAAUCUGGGUGCCGCAGCAAACGCAUUAAACACUCCGCCUGGGGAGUACGCACGCAAGUGUGAAACUCAAAGGAAUUGACGGGGACCCGCACAAGCAGCGGAGCAUGUGGUUUAAUUCGACGCAACGCGAAGAACCUUACCAAGUCUUGACAUAUUACAGAAUCAGUUAGAGAUAAUUGCUUACAUCUUCGGAUGACUGUAAUACAGGUGGUGCAUGGUUGUCGUCAGCUCGUGUCGUGAGAUGUUGGGUUAAGU
rnacentral:rRNA from 1 species